CCGCUGUAUGAAAGGAGAAAAGGUUAGCACCUCCUUUGCCAAGGGUGGAGGAGGUCCUUGGGCCUGUACACCAUGUAUGGGUAAGACAUUGCACCGAAUUUGUGGCUUCUCGCCAUGGCUGGAUUUCUUUUU
ensembl:snRNA U6atac minor spliceosomal RNA